rnacentral:rRNA from 1 species
UACGGGGGGUGCGAGCGUUGUCCGGAAUCACUGGGCGUAAAGGGCGCGUAGGUGGCGUCGUAAGUCUGUGGUGAAAGCCCCGGGCUCAACCUGGGAAUUGCAUUUGAGACUGCUCUGCUCGGGUGCGGAAGAGGGAAGCGGAAUUUCCGGUGUAGCGGUGAAAUGCGUAGAUAUCGGAAGGAACACCAGUGGCGAAGGCGGCUAUCUGGACGGUUUCUGACACUAAGACUCGAAAGCGUGGGGAGCAAACAGG